AUCCAGUCGCCGAGUCCCAAAUAGGACGAAACACGCGUCCUGGAU
rfam:Schistosoma mansoni strain Puerto Rico chromosome 4, complete genome